rnacentral:tRNA from 1 species
UCUCUGGAGGACUAGUGGUUAGGCCUCUGUGCUCUCACUGCCACGGCCUGGGUUCAGUUCCCAGCCAGACAG